GAAUUAAUAUUAUUUUUAGUAUUUAAUAUUAUACAUCUUUUAGAGUUUUGAUGUAAAAAAUAUAUAAGUUAGGAAAAAGCGGUGAAUGAUUUAUCGUUUUUAGAAAGUGGUGAAUUAUUCGUUGUGUAUGUAUAAUUUUAUAAAUAAAAAUUUAGAUGUCUAUUCUUACAAUUAAAAAGUUCCGUAGGCUUAUAACCCAAAAACCCUUCAAAAUUAUCUAUUGAUUUCCAUAGAAUCUUGAGUUCCAUACUUCUUAUUGACAUCUGGAAAGUCUAUUAUCUUUCUUUUUACUUAAAAACAAUCCAAUGAAUGCUGCGAAUCAAAUACUCCCUUGGCGAAAUGGAAGGGUGAGAUAGAAUUUUAGAGUCGUUAUUAAUUUAUUAACCAUAUGCUAAGGCUUUCUACAUCUUUCUACAUUAUGGUGUGCAUAAUUUGAUAAUGGAGAAGAUUGAAAAGCUUCCAAACUCCACUGAACACAAUGAUCAAGGACACGUAGCUUGGGAAGGUGAUAUAUACUCUCAAGUAAUUGGGGAGGAGAGACAUGGACAGGUGCGUGGAUUAGGACUUGGUCCGACGCCAACUAGCUUAUGGUCUCCCGGUUCCGUAUAUCAAUCAUCUUCAAAGGAUUUUGAGAAAAUAAAAGAACUGGAGAGAGAAAUUAAACUGAUGGAGCAAUAGCGUGUGAAGGAGAUGAAAACUAUGAAAGAAAAUCAAGAUCGUUUAGAGGCUGAAGUUGCAAUGAUGAGGUCGAUCAUAAGUAGACGAUUUCCCGAAGAUUCGGUAUCUUGUUGUUCUCGAUCCCAAGGAAAGGUAAAAGAGUUUUACUAUUUGAAAUUUUUUUGUUCCUUCUUCUUUUUAAUAUUUUUAUAUAUACUUUUAGGUCAUUUUUGAACUAGUAAAUUACUUAUUUGGUAUAGUGUGGUUGGUAAUAUUUGAAGCAAAUUACUUUAAAUCAUUAAUAUUUUCUUGUUAUCAUAACUAAUUUUUUAUUCUCAUAAUGUUCAUGAAAUAGGUUUCUGAUGCUUCUAGUUCUUAUCACGAUAUGGAUGUACAAAUUACUCGUUAAGGUAAUUAUCUUGGAGACUGUCGCUCCUCUUUCACUUCUGUCUUACCGUUAUCUUUUAGUUUGCAUAAGAAAAGAUGAAACUAUUGCACAACUAGAUGGAUUGUUAUCGUCUCUUAGUUGUGGUUUCUGUUAUCGUCUCUUAGCUGCGGUUCCGGUUUGAAAUGUUUAACAUGAACGAGUACAACUUUUCAUUUAACUAAAGCUUUAGAAUGAUUUCUUGUAAUAAAGACAU
rnacentral:lncRNA from 1 species